CCGCUCCCUCGUAUCCCGACAGCUUUCUCUUCUAUCGUUGCCCUGCUCUCCCUUCUUCGAUCGGUGUCUUCUUCGCCGGAUCUUGGUUGAGGCCUCUCCACAAUCAGAGCCAUAUUAUUGGUUGAUAGAGAGACGAAGCAUGAGAAAGCACCAUUGAGGUCUCAGUCCAACUCGAGAAAGAAAAAGAAGCAGCUCUUAUGGAGGCAGGGCAGAAAGCAGAGUAGAAUCGAGGGAGGCAUUCGCAAGGAAACGAAGGAAGCGAGGAGAAGAAAGAAGAUGGAAAAAGACGAAGAAGAAAAGGUGAAGGAUGAAGUGUUGGGGUAAUUACUGGAAUUGAAAUUGAAUUAGGAUUUGAAA